GCCCGGGUGGUCUAGUGGUAUGAUUCUCGCUUAGGGAGUAAUAUGUGUCUGGGAAUCUAGGCAUGUAUACUAAUUAACCCAAGCAUAUCUGCGAGAGGUCCCGCGUUCAAUCCGCGGCUCGGGCC